rnacentral:rRNA from 1 species
UACGAAGGGUGCAAGCGUUACUCGGAAUUACUGGGCGUAAAGCGUGCGUAGGUGGUUUGUUAAGUCUGAUGUGAAAGCCCUGGGCUCAACCUGGGAAUGGCAUUGGAUACUGGCGAGCUAGAGUGCGGUAGAGGGCAGUGGAAUUCCCGGUGUAGCAGUGAGAUGCGCAGAGAUCGGGAGGAACAUCUGUGGCGGAGGCGGCCACCUGGACCAGCACUGACACUGAGGCACGAAAGCGUGGGGAGCAAACAGG